rnacentral:rRNA from 1 species
CGACGCUGGCGGCGUGCCUAAUACAUGCAAGUCGAGCGCAGGAAACCGUCUGUAACCCUUCGGGGGGACGUACGGCGGAAUGAGCGGCGGACGGGUGAGUAACACGUAAAGAACCUGCCCACGGGUCUGGGAUAACCACGAGAAAUCGGGGCUAAUACCGGACGGGUCAUCGGACCGCAUGGUCCGAGGAUGAAAGGCGCUCCGGCGUCGCCCGUGGAUGGCUUUGCGGUGCAUUAGCUAGUUGGUGGGGUAAUGGCCCACCAAGGCGACGAUGCAUAGCCGACCUGAGAGGGUGAUCGGCCACACUGGGACUGAGACACGGCCCAGACUCCUACGGGAGGCAGCAGUAGGGAAUCUUCCACAAUGGACGAAAGUCUGAUGGAGCAACGCCGCGUGAACGAUGAAGGCCCUCGGGUCGUAAAGUUCUGUUGUAAGGGAAGAACAAGUGCCGCAGGCAAUGGCGGCACCUUGACGGUACCUUGCGAGAAAGCCACGGCUAACUACGUGCCAGCAGCCGCGGUAAUACGUAGGUGGCAAGCGUUGUCCGGAAUUAUUGGGCGUAAAGCGCGCGCANGCGGCCUCUUAAGUCUGAUGUGAAAGCCCCCGGCUCAACCGGGGAGGGCCAUUGGAAACUGGUANGCUUGAAUAUAGGA